rnacentral:rRNA from 1 species
UACGAAGGUGGCAAGCGUUACUCGGAAUUACUAGGCGUAAAGGGCAGGUAGGUGGUUUGAUAAGUCUGUUGUGGAAGCUCCCGGCUCAACUGGGAGAGGUCAACAGAUACUAUCAGGCUUGAGUAUAGGAGAGGGUACUGGAAUUCCCGGUGUAGCGGUGAAAUGCGCAGAGAUCGGGAGGAACACCAACGGCGAAAGCAGGUACCUGGACUAUUACUGACACUCAGCUGCGAAAGCUAGGGGAGCAACAGG